AACGAACGCUGGCGGCAUGCCUAACACAUGCAAGUCGAACGAAGGCUUCGGCCUUAGUGGCGCACGGGUGCGUAACGCGUGGGAAUCUGCCCUUUGGUUCGGAAUAACAGCUGGAAACGGCUGCUAAUACCGGAUGAUGACCAAAGUCCAAAGAUUUAUCGCCAGAGGAUGAGCCCGCGUUGGAUUAGGUAGUUGGUGGGGUAAAGGCCUACCAAGCCGACGAUCCAUGGCUGGUCUGAGAGGAUGAUCAGCCACACUGGGACUGAGACACGGCCCAGACUCCUACGGGAGGCAGCAGUGGGGAAUAUUGGACAAUGGGCGAAAGCCUGAUCCAGCAAUGCCGCGUGAGUGAUGAAGGCCCUAGGGCUGUAAAGCUCUUUUACCCGGGAAGAUAAUGACUGUACCGGGAGAAUAAGCCCCGGCUAACUCCGUG
rnacentral:rRNA from 1 species